rnacentral:rRNA from 1 species
GACGAACGCUGGCGGCGUGCUUAACACAUGCAAGUCGAGCGGUAAGGCCCCUUCGGGGUACGACGAGCGGCGAACGGGUGAGUAACACGUGGGUGACCUGCCCUUAGCUCUGGGAUAAGCCUGGGAAACUGGGUCUAAUACCGGAUAUGACUCCAUGACGCAUGUUGUGGGGUGGAAAGCCUUGUGCGGCUGGAGAUGGGCCCGCGGCCUAUCAGCUUGUUGGUGGGGUGAUGGCCUACCAAGGCGA